UGUCUUAGUACUUUUUUAAUAGAAAUGCUUUUGGUUCUUCAAAAAAAGCCAGUGAGAAGUGAUGCAGCAUUAAUAAUUAAUCAAAGUAGCGUAGUUGUCUGUCAUGUAAACGGAUUUAUUUUUAUUUUAUUUUUAUUUUUUUUAGCCAUCGACACGUGAAGCUAAGGAACAACACCGAAAUACAAAACGGACAAAAUGAGAGUAAAGUUUUACUGUCGUUUGUGUUUGUCCGCAAUAACGGUUUAAGGUAAUGAAAUUUACUUUGAGGAGGGGCUACAGAGGUUAGUCUUUAUUUUUAUCACACUUUUUGUGAUCAUAACGUUUCUGUCUGCGAUGGAAAACAAACUGGCAGGUAGAUUUAAUAACUUGCUCAAAGGAGAGAAAAAAACUAAGAUAUGAUACAUUUUUUGAUUAAUAUGCAAUGAAUUUCCUUGUGCAUCAAACCCUCCAAAGCAGCCACUCGUGCUACUGUCGUGCUGCAACUUUAAAGGGAAUUUUAAAGAGCUUAUUUUCCCUGGGAAAACGCCAUUGUUCGUACUGAAACAAUAGAUGCUGCAGGCAACCACAGCGAGGCGGCAUGAAUGGCGAAGCUCCGGGUCAGUGCAUUGGGUCUCAGGCCCCAAAGCCCCCUUUCCCUGUGCACCACAAUGACCCUGCGCGAGGUCGAGGCUCCGCGGGGUCACAGGGCAUCACCUAUUGUUCCGCACUUCAAAACAGAUAAACGUUUUUUUAAUCUAGGUUGGCCAUGGGGCCCUGUUUCUCAGGAAAAAUCUGGUACUACGAGUGUUAUGGGCCAGUUGGACUUCCUAUGUUGUAGACUAUAUGAAUAAGACGUAGGCCUAUAUGUUAGAAAUAAACGGAGCCAAUGAUCAUCUUUUCCUGGAUGAAAGGACUUCAAAUAUUCGCUCUCAAGUAAGGCAGAAUUUUUAGACGUUUAAAUGUAGAGAUGUGCAGCAGACUAUUUUGCAUUAGCUCAUAAAGAAGGGUUUAAGGUAUGUUUAUCAAAGAUUACACGUUUUUAACCGUAACGCGCGACUUAAAAAUGUUUUAGUGCAUGUUCAUUUUUGUACAAGUCAGUGCUGUCGUGGUUUCAAAAGAUAAAAGGAAACUAUCUUAACAAUGUAAAUUACGCCUGAAAGAGUUAAUGAGAUCUUUCUCCACAGGCCCAAAAUCAUUCUAAAAAUAUUCACGACGGAUUAGUUAUUGUUUAUGCUAGUUUUCUUGUCAUACUAGAGAUGGCAUGUUUUUAAUGUCGCAUCAUAUUUAACAGCGAUGAAUUGUGUUGACAAUAUUAUUGCACUGACCAUGAAACAUCUUUAAUAGACCAUGAAGCAUCAGUUGAAAUGACUGGAAAGCAGGGUUCAUUUUUCAUAUCUUUACCAAUUUAAUUAAAAAAGAAAUCAAUUGUUAACGUAUUUUAACGAAAUGUCGUAGCCUGUAAUCAGAGUAUUAAUGUAGCCUAUUGAAUUUAUGUUAAGUUGCAGCUAAGUGUAGUAUAACACUUUGUACUGAACCUGUAAACUGGUUAACACAAGCUAGAAUGUCACAACAUUUCAAAUAGUUAUCUGAUACUAUAUUAAACACUUUAGUACAUGUAAAUAAUUGUUCGAACGAUUAUGCAAUGUAGUUUGUGCAUUAAUAAUAUAAAUGUACGCAGGUGCGUUGUUUUCCCUUAGUUUACCAAAAUGGUGCAUGUUGCGUUCAAAUCACACAACUUGAAAGACGAGACGCUGACGCGUGCUUUUAUUUAAAUUGCAUAUAUUUUUGCAAAUUUAGCGUGCAUUAUUCUUAAACGUAAGAAGUAAGUUGCAUAACAAUACCGUUAUAAAGACUGCGAAACUGCUGAGCUUCCGUCACAAAUCAAACGCAUUGUGGUUAGAUGAGGGGUAUGGCUCAGCUUCCUCCAAUACCCACCGAGCCAUCGUCACAUUCUGUACGAUUGAAAAAAAUAAAACCCACUAAAUUUGCGUUUUUUUUUCUCUCUCUUUUAAAUCACUUAACAUGUACGUUGACUCUGUCUGGCACAUGGAAUAUUAUCUUGAAAUGCUCUUCAGAUAAACUAUCCUGCUAGGUAAUUGAUUUUGUGAGCUGAAUAUUUGUGAGCAUGUAAAUCCAUGCUUUUGAGGAGAUCUGACCUUUAGAAUUGCAUUCCUCAAUUGCAAAUAACGAACAGAGUGCAUACUAUAAUGGUCAGUCAAAUCUCGACAUUUAUUAAAAUUUUAAUGUGUAGAAAAACAUCCAACGUGAAUGAUUUGUAUUUUUUGCAAUUUAAUGCAACAUUUGGUUUGUUUUUCAUAUGCAAUAUAUUGUCUUAAUCAUCAUAAGCAAAAAUGGAAUCAUUUUUUAUUUAUUUCAAGAAGAAUAUUUGAAAAAAAUCAGCAUAUUUGUGUUUAAGCAUCAGACUCUUUCAGUCUUGCUAAUCUACAAUGUGGAUUUUAUUUUCACUCCUGAGUGUUUGUAUACUGUAUAUCUCUCUGUGCUGAGCAAACAGCAGCAGGUCAGUGAUGGAGUGAUGUUUAUGAAGUCCCGGUUUAGAUUUGUGUUCCUCACCCUCCACAUUCUGCUCUCAGCUCGACUGGGAGGGGAGUCUUCCGUUUUUCACAAUGGUCUGUAAAGGUUACAGUCCUCAUCCAUGUGAAAGAACAUAACUAAGGUCAAGAAAGGACAUGACUGUGUUUGGGCUUCUUCUGUCCUACAUCUCUUGAGGUCUUCAAGCAUUAUCUUUUGUGUUCUGCAGAAGAAAGAAGGUCCUAUACAUUUGGAACGACGUGAGGGGUGUCCUGAGCGUGUCCUGAGCUUAUAAAGUUGCGAUCUACUAUAAAGCAAGAAGAAGAAGAAGACAUGUCAGGCGCUGGCUGUUGAGAACGCAUUCAGGAUGCGCUCAGGACUGUUCUUAGUUUCAUACUGAAGAAACAAAGUCACCUA